GAGCCGUGAGUGAGGCGCUGCCUCUCCCGCUGAAGCGGGUUCCAAGGCCACCGUGAGGGGGACCAUCCAUCCAGGUAAAACGUGUUCUUUCCUUGUUCCUUUGCGAAUCGAUGGGGAUCAGGCUUCCCCAGGUGGUGAAGUGAGGAACAGGGACCGCGGGGCUCGCCUGACCAGUGGGGUCUCCAUCCUUGUCCGUGCUGACAAAAGACAAGAACAGACAGCGCCUGAAAUCUUCCCGCCUCCGUGAGGGAAGCCUGCGUCUGGGAACGCGCCGCAGGGAAGUGAUCCCUGAGUGAGGGAGGAGGUGCCGGGGCAUCAUUAAUCAGACCUCAAUGCCGGGAAGGUUCUUUGUUUAAAGAAACACUCAUGUUUAAAGAGCACUUGGUGCGGACUUGCUGUGGCCAUCGCCCUCAACAGCUCAUCUUUAGGAGGUGCAGGCUGAAUUCACGCCUCGGUGUCGUCCAUGUCUGCCUGCCGCGCAGAGGAGACAGCGAGAGGCCUUCCCACCGCACGGCUUUUACGGGAAGCUCUUCGCAUUGGCUACAGGGGUGUGGUUUGGUUUAUAGCCACACCAAGUAAUUUUAAUAGAACUCAAUAACUGUGUUGCCUUGCAGGCUCCGAGUGCUACAGGCAGACCCGAGUCCGAGUCUUCCUACGGUUCAUUGUCCCCCCCUGGAUUUCCUAGGGACUCCAGAUACGAUGGCAUCGAUGUCAGUUAACUUGGCACUUCUUAAAAUAGAUCUAUGAUCAAAUCUUAAGUUUUUCCGAAUAAGACUCUGGAGGAAUGCAGGAAGGUCAUUUGAUUACUUUAAAAUAAGAGGAUUUUAUGUUAAAAUAUUGAAAAAGCCAGUCAUAAAACUAAGCUCUGUACCAAUGAAUAUAGUUCGCGAAGCCAGCAGCACAGGCUUAUUAUUAUAAAUAUCAAACACCACCA
rnacentral:lncRNA from 10 species